UUUUGUUUUUAUAGAAUAGAAUGUAAACAGAAUGAAAUAAGAACUGUAUUCAACUGGACAACACAAUAAAGUACAAAAAGAAGAAACAAGGUCAAACCAAGCAAAAGUAUCUUAAUUGAUCAGGCCAGCUGUAGCUACUCAAAACCUCUUCCACAAUAACAAAUACAUUGAUUUCUGAAAUCAAUACCACACCUGACAUCAUCUUGCAAGGUAAACUAUUGAACAACUGACGUGCCGCUUCUUUUCAGUGGAGUUACCGAAUCAAACUGUACCACAGAUUCAAGCCUGACAAAUAGCUGGCUGACCUUUGGUAUAAUCACACCUUGCAUUUGGAUGGGAUCCUGUGCAGAUAGCAUUGCCGCUAAGCUCAUCAUCAUUAAUUAUGGCUCGCCUAUCAAUAUGUAAUUAUCUCCACUCUUCAGCACUACAGGGGCAGGAGGUGGGAAUACAGCAGCUGUGCCCUUCAACAGAAGCACUUAACCUGAAUUGCUUCGGUAAACACCAGCCUGUGUGAAUGAAACAUGAGGAAAAUGCAGCCUCAGGGUUGCCCGGACCAAAAUCUGAUUGAUUAGAAGUUGCUCUUUCAUAGUUCAUGAGACUUAAUGGGGUUCUCGUUUAUGUUUCAUUCUAGUAUGAACUUCAUCUCAGAUGUUGCUCCUACACUCUUAAAGGACAAGUUCACCCAAAAAUGUAAAAUGAACUCACAAUAUGUAGAUGAUUUUGUUUUUUCGUGGAGAAAUGUAACAUUGCAUCAUUUGCUCAGCAAUGGAUGCUCUGCAGUGAAUGGGUGCCGUCAGAAUGAGAGUACAAACAGCUGAUAAAAACAUCACAAUAA